rnacentral:rRNA from 1 species
CCUACGGGAGGCAGCAGCAAGGAAUUUUCGGCAAUGGGCGCAAGCCUGACCGWGCAACGCCGCGUGGAGGAUGACGGCCUUCGGGUUGUAAACUCCUUUUCCAGGGGAUGAUGAUGACCGUACCCUGGGAAUCAGGCUCGGCUAACUCUGUGCCAGCAGCCGCGGUAAU